rnacentral:rRNA from 1 species
UACAGAGGGGGCAAGCGUUGUUCGGAAUUACUGGGCGUAAAGGGCGCGUAGGCGGCCUGCUAAGUCGAACGUGAAAUCCCCGGGCUUAACCCGGGAACUGCGUCCGAUACUGGUUGGCUUGAAUUCGGGAGAGGGAUGCGGAAUUCCAGGUGUAGCGGUGAAAUGCGUAGAUAUCAGGAGGAACACCAGCGGCGAAGGCGGCGCUCUGGGCCGGAACUGACGCUGAGGAGCGAAAGCGUGGGUAGCAAACAGG